GAUGGUGGCCAUUUGCUGGAAGACGACAAAGUGUGUGUGCUGAAGCAGCUUUUUUCGAAAAAAACUGUUAAUUUCUUAUUUAAAAAUACAAAACAUUAACAAAUAUGAGAACAACUCAGAAAUAGUGUAACAAAUUUCAAAAAGAGAAGCUUAAAGUUAUGAUGGAUACUGGCUUUUAAAAUGUGACCUUUAAAAUUACGGUAUAUCGGUAAAUAUCGGACGACUAUAACAUAAAGCAACAAGAACAAUGAAAAUAACAAACAAAAUUCUAAAGUAGGCCUAAUCGAGGAGCUCUUAUUUUUAGUGUCAAAGAAAAGUCAAUUCAACACAAAAGCAAGGAGACGUGUCUCAACCAAAUCAAAUGUGGAUAAUAACGAUAUUCAGAGUCACAAAUCGGGACAACCUCGCUCAACAGUGCAUUUAAUAUAAGGUCUUCUGGGUGAAGACGCUGGCGACCACAGUUAUGUUGGUGAGAUCCUGAUACAGACAUUGUAACAAAUCAGAAAAAUCAUCAGCGUAUUAUUACUAAACAAAUAAAUAUGCAUAAAUAUUGAGUAAUGAUGUACUAUUCUUUUGGGAGACGAAUCAUCAAAAGCUGCCUGUUUCAAUGUCUUGCAGAGAACUGGAAUUCCGCUCCAGUUUUAAAAAGAGAAAUCAUGAACCAAAGAUAGAAGAUGAUCCAGUUAACAGCCAAGGUGUUGGCGAGAUAAUCACAAAGGCAUUGUAAUUAAGCAGAAAAAUCACUAAAUAAAAAGAAAUGUUUACAAAGUUUGUAAAAAAAAUAAAGUGAUGGAAAUGGAUUUAUAUAGAUUUAUACAAACAUGGACUGCCAUUAAAAAUCGGCACCAUCAAAUAACAAAAACAGACUGAGCUUCAAAACUGCCUGUUUGAAUGCCUUGCAGAGAGAGUAAGCUUAUACAACCUAGUCAACAGAAAAAAUAUAUCUUGCUUUUGGAUAGACUUAUUAAAACUUAAGAUCUUUCACUUUUAAAUGAAAAAUCAACUUUAAUUAAGAAGAU